UUUUCCUUGCCUGUGUUCAGCUCUCUACCUCAGAGCACCACCUAGUGCCCGCCUGUUUCUCAGGACCCCUUACCACUCUAUAGAGCUGAAUGUACUGCUUAGCACCUUGCGUCCCCUCCCCCCUUUGAAUGUGUGUGUGCCUGAGUAUAUAUGGGUGUGCGCCACACGUGUACAGGAGCCCGCAGAAGUCGGAAGAGCAGAAGAGGACAUCACAUCCUGUGGGACUGACUUGCAGGCAGUCGUGAGCCUCCGUGUAGAAGGUCUGGUGAGAUGGCUCAACACCUGCCAGCUGAGUGACGGGUGGAAGAAAAGAACCAACGACUUUUGUUCUUGAGGCGCGUGGAGGGGCCGGACCUGCAAAUCCAAAGCUCCGGGACCUCCAUGACACAGGGCAACAGCAGGAUGUCUGAGAGGAGUCCCAGUGAGGAUCUGACACUGAUGGGGUCGCAGAAGCCAGAGGCCUUGAAUCAAAGCAAUCACUCACUGCAAUGUGUGGGCACACUACAGAUUCCACUAGGAGGAGUUAUUUUUUUUUUUUUGUUUGUUUGGUUGGUUGGUUUUGUUUU